rnacentral:lncRNA from 1 species
AAUUUUUAUCACUUAUGCCACUUUUCCUAAAAAACUAAUCGUUUAUGCCCCUUCAUGUUUAUAAUUUUAUUUUUCAUUUUCUUUUAAAUCGAAAUUAAUAGAAAAAGUCUAAAAACCCUUACCCUAAUCUAAUAUUUACGUAUCACUGCCACAACUAAACUACAAAAACAUAACUGCCUCAUUUUCUUUAUCACGCCUCCUUCUUCUUCUUAUUUUUCUCUCCAGAUUUUUUUCUCUUUUCUCUCUAUCUCUUCUUCUCCAUGGAUCUCUAUUCUUCUUAUCUCUUCAUCAUCAUCAAAACUCUAGAUUUCUUAUUCUCCAUUGAUUUCUUUUUGCGUUUCUCAUCAACCAUUAUAAACCCUAGAUCUCUUUUUCUCCAUGGAUCUUUCUCCAUAAGGUCGUCUCAAAUCCGUCAAAUAUGGUAACCGAGAUCAAUUUUGAUGGCAAGGAAAGAUAUAGAAUCCCUAUUAUAUAUGCAUUUUAAUGUAAUUCAAAAGAGAUAUUUAAAAAGAAAAGUAAAAGAAGGUCUUUUUUAAUCUUUGCUUAUUAAAUUUUAUGCCUUUUAUUUUCCCUUUUGAUCUUUGCUUAUUAAAAAAUAUAAUUUCAAUGUCCCCCACUUAGUUUUUAGAGGUCGAUAUUACCUUCUUCCCACCGCAUUUGCAUUGGUUCAUAAUUAUAUUAUUUUUAAUAUAUUGAAUACUUGUGUUUAUUUCGGUGCUAAUUGCAAGAAAAUUUG